rnacentral:rRNA from 1 species
GACGAACGCUGGUGGCGUGCUUAACACAUGCAAGUCGAACGGAAAGGCCCUGCUUUUGUGGGGUGCUCGAGUGGCGAACGGGUGAGUAACACGUGAGUAACCUGCCCUUGACUUUGGGAUAACUUCAGGAAACUGGGGCUAAUACCGGAUAGGAGCUCCUGCUGCAUGGGGGGGGUUGGAAAGUUUCGGCGGUUGGGGAUGGACUCGCGGCUUAUCAGCUUGUUGGUGGGGUAGUGGCUUACCAAGGCUUUGACGGGUAGCCGGCCUGAGAGGGUGACCGGCCACAUUGGGACUGAGAUACGGCCCAGACUCCUACGGGAGGCAGCAGUGGGGAAUAUUGCACAAUGGGCGGGAGCCUGAUGCAACAACGCCGCGUGCGGGAUGACGGCCUUCGGGUUGUAAACCGCUUUCGCCUGUGACGAAGCGUGAGUGACGGUAAUGGGUAAAGAAGCACCGGCUAACUACGUG